rnacentral:rRNA from 1 species
UAACUGAAGAGUUUGAUCAUGGCUCAGAUUGAACGCUGGCGGCAGGCUUAACACAUGCAAGUCGAGCGGAGAGAGGUAGCUUGCUACUGAUCUUAGCGGCGGACGGGUGAGUAAUGCUUAGGAAUCUGCCUAUUAGUGGGGGACAACAUUUCGAAAGGAAUGCUAAUACCGCAUACGUCCUACGGGAGAAAGCAGGGGAUCUUCGGA